rnacentral:lncRNA from 1 species
AAAAUAAUAAUAGUAGAAAAAAGAGCCCGCUAAGUCGAGAGCUUGAAAAGCGACUUAGGCAAAAAUUGGGGCAUCCCGGUGGGAUGAAAACUCGAAAGAGCGGUCCAUGAAAAAAUUAGGAAUAAAAAUAAAAAAAAAUAAAAAAAGAGGUCACCAAAGUCCUUAAAAAAAAGAACAAGAUUAGGUGACCACCAUAUCAAAACAAGAAAAUCAAACACAAAAAUAGGUGAUUGCCACUUCAAGAAAAUAUCAUAAGUUCUUGAGCCAUUAUCUUCACCUCUACACCAUCAAAGUUCUCUUGGAAAUCUUAUAAAUGUGUUGAACUAAUUUAACAUAGGAAUGGAGAUCAUUAGAAGGAGAAUGAGUGGGUUAAAAUUAAAAUUUU